UACGUAGGGGGCUAGCGUUGUCCGGAUUUAUUGGGAGUAAAGAGCGUGUAGGCGGCCAUGUAGGUCCGGUGUGAAAACUCGAGGCUUAACCUCGAGAUGUCAUCGGAAACCAUUUGGCUAGAGUCCGGAAGAGGAGAGUGGAAUUCCUGGUGUAGCGGUGAAAUGCGCAGAUAUCAGGAAGAACACCAAUGGCGAAAGCAGCUCUCUGGGACGGUACUGACGCUGAGACGCGAAAGCGUGGGGAGCGAACAGG
rnacentral:rRNA from 1 species